UACGUAGGGUGCGAGCGUUAAUCGGAAUUACUGGGCGUAAAGCGUGCGCAGGCGGUGAUGUAAGACAGAUGUGAAAUCCCCGGGCUCAACCUGGGAACUGCAUUUGUGACUGCAUCGCUGGAGUGCGGCAGAGGGGGAUGGAAUUCCGCGUGUAGCAGUGAAGUGCGUAGAUAUGCGGAGGAACACCGAUGGCGAAGGCAAUCCCCUGGGCCUGCACUGACGCUCAUGCACGAAAGCGUGGGGAGCAAACAGG
rnacentral:rRNA from 1 species